UUUUGAAUAAGUUAACCCUUGGUUUUUUCCUCUGACCUUGAUGGCAGAGUUUGUUAUUUUAGUUUGAAUUAGAGACCGCCGGUAGUCCUGUUUGGCGUAAUUAGUGGGGAAAGCACAGGGUGCGACGGCCCAUUGCGUGGCUUGCUCUGUGUUUCCCUCUUUUGCUCCUUUUGGCUGGGGUCUCCAUCUCGCUUUGCUUCAUAACUUUAUGGGUUAACCUUUUUUCCUUUUCUGUCCCAGUGGAAAAUUUUCAGUAAAGUUUCCUUCUUUUGGCGACCAUGAAAUCCUUGUGUGGCAUCCUUAUAUGUUGUGGUCUCAUUGAGCCUUGUGUUAUUUCAAUUUUAUGAGGCCGUAACAAUGUCAUAUACAGUGAAUGGUUCCAUCACUGUGUCUCUUUACAGGUGCUUUAUCAGACAAACUAGUUGUGACUCAGAGUCCAGAUGUUUCUGUCAUGGAGGGGGAGAUGGUGAAAAUCAUUUGCUGCUGGACAGGGAAGUUUGAAAGAGUUCAUGUGAACUGGUUGAAAAGUCAAACACAAAACAAGGAAGAUCUGAACAUGAAGAAUUGGUCUCAAGUGUUUCAGAAAAAGGAGGUAAACGACUAUUCAACUCUGACCUUUCCAAAUAUCUCAAGAGAAGAUGCAGGUACAUACAUCUGCAAGAUGACUAUAGAGAUACCAGUUUUAGUUACAGCUCUUGGAAAUGGUACAGUCAUCACAGUUAUAUUCAAGGAGGAAACAUGUGGAGACACAACUGAAGAAACAUCUGAUGAAGCAGCUGGAGACACAACUGAAGAAACAUCUGAUGAAGCAGCUGGAGACACAGUUUUAGAUAACAUUUCAGAAGCUCCCCUUAAAAAAGAGUUCAUCUUUGCCCUGAGGUGCCUGCCCAUCCUUACCCUCGUCAUAGCCUUCAUCUGCCUCCACUGUUUCCUGAGUAGAGCUCAGAAAUGAACAUCAGCUCCUGGAAAUGAAGCGAGUUGGACCCAAAAAAGAGAGGAAGACCAAGAAGAAGAGGAGAGAGAAGAGAGAGUGAUAGAGGAGGGAGGAGAAUGAGAUGAAGAAAUGGGAUGAUAUUUUCUAGAUAUGGACACAAACCGCCUUUAAUUCUUGCUUUCCAAACGGAUUAGUGCCUAUAUCUGUAAAAAAAAGUUUAAGUGUAAAAACUAAGUUUAUGGUUUAACCUACUCCUCAGGAACAUAUAAAUAAAAAUAGCACCUGGUUUGCAUGAUUUCUCUGUGCGUAAUGGGCUGAAGGAAAUUCCCAGAUGUGGCAGACUGCUUGAUUGGAUUGAGAGGUGGACCACUCAAAUGUGGGCUUUUGAAAGCCAUGUGCUCCCAAGAAGAGAGGCUUGGUUUUGGAAAGGGAAUAAGAUUAACAGCAUGAAAACCUGUGAGCGUCUCUGUUAGCUGUAGAGAGGCCUAUGGGGAUGCAAAGUCAAACUUUGCCUAGUUUGGACCUUAAAGACUGCAUGCCAUCCUACAGCCAGUCAGAGCGAUGAAGCAUGUGGUAAUGAGCGAACGAGGCUUUCUCGACAAAUGCCUUAAUUUUUGUUCAUUGUUUGUCCUUCAUUUUCCGAUGGGUUUUUCCAAAGUUUAUACUGUCAAUGCUCCAGAUCAACUUUUAGCCACUAAAAGAAAUGCCAAUCGGUCUUAUUUUGUUUAGGUGUCCCUUGUUGUCUCAAAAACAGCUGUGACUCAGCAGAGAAUGAGGGUGUUCUGUGGUUUCUGGUUAGUGGGAGGUCUUUGGGUC